UACGUAGGGUGCUAGCGUUGUUCGGAAUUAUUGGGCGUAAAGCGGGUGUAGGUGGUUAGGCAAGUCAGAUGUGAAAUCCCUCGGCUCAACCGAGGAAGUGCAUCUGAAACUAUCUAGCUAGAGGACAGUAGAGGGAGGUGGAAUUCCAAGUGUAGAGGUGAAAUUCGUAGAUAUUUGGAGGAAUACCGGUGGCGAAGGCGGCCUCCUGGACUGUUCCUAACACUGAGAUCCGAAAGCGUGGGUAGCAAACAGG
rnacentral:rRNA from 1 species